CCUACGGGAGGCAGCAGUAGGGAAUAUUGCUCAAUGGGGGAAACCCUGAAGCAGCAACGCCGCGUGGAGGAUGAAGGUUUUCGGAUUGUAAACUCCUUUUGUUAGAGAAGAUAAUGACGGUAUCUAACGAAUAAGCACCGGCUAACUCCGUGCCAGCAGCCGCGGUAAUACGGGGGGUGCAAGCGUUACUCGGAAUCACUGGGCGUAAAGAGCGCGUAGGCGGGAUAGCAAGUCAGAUGUGAAAUCCUAGGGCUUAACCAUAGAACUGCAUUUGAAACUGUUAUUCUAGAGUAUGGGAGAGGGAGGUGGAAUUCUUGGUGUAGGGGUAAAAUCCGUAGAGAUCAAGAGGAAUACUCAUUGCGAAGGCGACCUGCUAGAACAUAACUGACGCUGAUGCGCGAAAGCGUGGGGAGCAAACAGGAUUAGAUACCCGAGUAGUC
rnacentral:rRNA from 1 species